rnacentral:rRNA from 1 species
UGCCAGCAGCCGCGGUAAUACGGAGGGGGCUAACGUUGUUCGGAAUUACUGGGCGUAAAGCGCGCGUAGGCGGAUUAGACAGUUGAGGGCUCAACCCUGGAACUGCCUUUAAAACUCCUAGUCUUGAGUUCGAGAGAGGUGAGUGGAAUUCCAAGUGUAGAGGUGAAAUUCGUAGAUAUUUGGAGGAACACCAGUGGCGAAGGCGGCUCACUGGCUCGAUACUGACGCUGAGGUGCGAAAGUGUGGGGAGCAAACAGGAUUAGAUA